GCGACGCGACCAUGACAGAAAUACUAAAGCUGCAUGUCAAUCAAUGACUGGGGAACUGAUCCCACUGUCAAGCAAUAAGCCAUCAGCUAUUUUUCACCGUUUUAUAUAUAUAUACACACACUCAUGGCCAUCAAGGCGCAGUUUCUGCACAGACUAUAGUGCUCAGCUCUUAUUGGUAUUUAAUAGACAUCCUCCGAUGAGCACGCUGAAAUGCAAGAGAAGGUCUUGGAUGAAGAGGACGGAGUGACAACACUGCUCUCACAACAGGACGUACCGUGCCGAACGGAGCCGCGGCCGCCGCUGUCCCCACUGGAGCAGAGAGGACCGGGCUUUGAUGUUCCACUCAAAAUUAUUAAUUCCCCGCAUCAGUCUGACAGCGGUGCUGAGAGCUAAAGGAAAUGAUUUACUUAUGACUGAUCAAACGCUCCUCGCAGAAGAGCGCGACUCAGUCUCCGUCAGACACGACAAGAGAGAAAGCAAUAAAUCACAUGACUCAUGACUUCUGGAGGAUCCGUCAUCCACAGGAAGGCAUCUUCACGUAUGUGUGUGUGUGUGUGUGUGUGUGUGUGUGUGUGUGUCUCAGUGCAAUAAAUCUCUUUGAGUGCUCGUAGCGGAAAGGUAAAGUCUCAGAGCCGGAGAAGCUCCAGGCAUUUGUUGCUGUGGAACAAUGUGUAACCAUGGCCGGGGCACCAAAGGAGGCUCACACACCUGUAGCAGGUGAUUACAGGUAGAUCUGCUUCCUCUAAUUGGACAAUAAACACCACUCUCGGCCGGCUAAUGGCACCAGUCUGACUCUCAGACGCCACGCUCCCAUUUGGCCGUCGCCAGAAGUCCACGAGUCCCCUCCGAACGGCCAUCUUGAUGACAUGUCUGAUUUAUGUGCUGUAUAUAUAAGAAUUUGUAACCCGAGACCACAAAACCAUUCACAAAUGUCAAUACUUUUAUUAAAUAAAUAAGCUUUCCAUUGAUGUAUGGUUUAUUAGAGUAAGAUACACAAUUUCUAGUUCUAGUCAUGUCCAUUUUCUGAACUGUAUUGAAUAAACUGUGAUAACCUGAAAAAUUUUGAAGGUGACUGAAUUAUUUUUACUUUGACUGUAUGUAUAAAAUAAUCCCUCUUUAUAUUAAGUGGCCUUAACUAAUAUGUACUUACAUAGGAAUAAAUAG